rnacentral:rRNA from 1 species
UUUUGCCCAAGCCUGUCUGAUAUCGGAAGAUAAGUAGGGUCGGGCCUGGUUAGUCCUUGGAUGGGAGACCACCUAGGAAGAUCGGGUGCUGCAGGGA